UGCGCAGGCGGUCUUGUAAGACAGGUGUGAAAUCCCCGGGCUUAACCUGGGAACUGCACUUGUGACUGCAAGGCUGGAGUACGGCAGAGGGGGAUGGAAUUCCGCGUGUAGCAGUGAAAUGCGUAGAUAUGCGGAGGAACACCGAUGGCGAAGGCAAUCCCCUGGGCCUGUACUGACGCUCAUGCACGAAAGCGUGGGGAGCAAACA
rnacentral:rRNA from 1 species